ACAAAAAACCAACCAAAACCCCAACCACCUUAGAACUCCGGCAACCCGCCACCUCCCUUGCUCAGCCACCUCGCUCGCCCAGCCACCUCACUUGCCCAGCCACUAGACUCGCCGCUCCGGCGCUUCCCCUAAGCCACAGUCCCCCCUCCCCGAAACCCCUACGCAACCACCUAUUAAACCCUUCUAUCCCCCAUUUCUAAAACUUCCAACCUCGUAACCCUAGAGGCUAUUCUGGUGGGGCGAAUGGGGAGGGGGUGGUUUCCGGUUCGGGGUGGAGGCCGGGGCAGCAAGAAGGGGAAAGGGAGGGGGUAGGUUUGCCGGCCGUUCAGGGGUGGGUUUCAGUUGCGCUCAGGGAGGGGCGAGGAGUGUGUUUGGCGAUGUGGGAGGGGGAAGUUGAGGAAGAUAUGGGUGGCGGUGGGAGAGUGGUCGAGCGAGGUGGCUGGCAGGGUUGUUUCUGUGCGUGAGUUGGGCCGCUAGUUUGUGUGCAUGCUGUCGGAAAUAUGCAGCGAGGGGCGACGGUGGUGAUGUGUGACAUGAGAGGUGUGCAGGGGUGGGCUGCGUUGGUGGGGAAAGACAGUGGGGUAGGGUAGCCGACGCUUUGGGCGCCGGUCGCCGGCAGGGGGGGAAAGUGGUGGCUGACGGGAGGGGUGGUGGAGGAGGGGGGAGGGUGGCUGGGUUUUUCUUUUUUAAAAAAAACAUUUUAAUUUUUUUUUUUUUUUUUGAAUAAACUUACUUAACGAAAAUCUUAACGGAUUCCGUCAACUGGUAGCAAUUUUUAACAACUCUGAUGUCCUUUUAUUUUCUAUCUAUCUUUCCAUAGCUUCUCUCUCCUCUAAUCCUCCAUCAUUCAUCUUCAUCUUCUCUAGAGACUCCGAUUUGGAGGCCUCGAAUCCCACCAUUGUCUGAUCUCUCCCUCUUUUAAUCUGCUACUUUCGAUUCUCUUUUCAUACAAGGUUGGUGCAAAAUAAUGCAGUGCUUGAAGUUAGAGUCCUGUGCUUCUAUAACAAGAAAGAAAGUUCAAAUGCGUGGCGCUCCUUGACUCCAUAUCAACUUAACUAGCGAAAAAGCAACCUGGACAUCGAGAGCCAACCUUCUUGUUAGAGAAAAGAGGAGUUUCUAAUGUGCAUAUAAGGAAAUAGAUGACUUAAUGUUGAGAAGAUUCCUAAGAGCUCGUAAUCUAAAUGUGAAGAAGAUGGGUUCCAUGUUCUUAAAGUAAUCAAGAGUCUGCUGUUACUGACUCAUGCUGAUGUCUGCUGCCACUGCUAUUUGCUGGCGUGGUGCUGUUGACUGCUGUGUACUCCAAGCUGCUGUUAUCUGCUGUUACUGCUAGCCUGUUACUACGUACUGACUGUUGUUACUGCUAGCUGCUGCUAUCGGCUGAUGGUGCUAGCUGCUGCUAUAUGCUAUUAAUUUUGCUUUUUUUGUUUUGGAAUUUGAUGGUCUAAUCUAGAGACCGAAGUUCACUUUCUUUUUGUUUUGUUUAUUAGAUUUUUAGCCAAACAAAAGUUUUGGUGUAAUGGAAUUUUUCUUAAGAAACUAUGAAAUUAUAUCAUUUCAAAUUA